GAGUUUGAUCGGCUCAGAUUGAACGCUGGCGGCAUGCCUUACACAUGCAAGUCGAACGGCAGCACGGGAGCUUGCUCCUGGUGGCGAGUGGCGAACGGGUGAGUAAUGCAUCGGAACGUAUCCUGGAGUGGGGGAUAACGUAGCGAAAGUUACGCUAAUACCGCAUAUUCUGUGAGCAGGAAAGCGGGGGACCUUCGGGCCUCGCGCUCUUGGAGCGGCCGAUGUCGGAUUAGCUAGUUGGUGAGGUAAAGGCUCACCAAGGCGACGAUCCGUAGCAGGUCUGAGAGGAUGAUCUGCCACACUGGAACUGAGACACGGUCCAGACUCCUACGGGAGGCAGCAGUGGGGAAUUUUGGACAAUGGGGGCAACCCUGAUCCAGCCAUGCCGCGUGAGUGAAGAAGGCCUGG
rnacentral:rRNA from 1 species